GACAUCUUCUUGCCUACUCUGCAGGAGGCUGGAGCCAUGUCUGAGCAGGCCAGACAACACAUCUACAGGGUGCAGAUGACCUAUGGGCAGCCACACUGUGAUGCCUGUGUGAGGGCCUAAACUUCAGGGAGGAAGAAAGUGAGGUCAGAUCCUGAGGGAGCACUUGCUCUCCUGCAGCAGGCAUGGGGGAGCACCUGACUGCUGAGGAUGGCUUCGGAACAUUUGUGUGAAGAGGGAUAACAGAUGCUGCAUGCCAGAGGGAUGGUGGCCAUAGGCCGCAAGAUUCGGUUCUUCUGGCCGCAGAAGACCCUGACUUCACCUUUCAGGCCUCUGUUUCCUUAUCAACGAAAUAAGAGCAUGUGAUUAAUUCUGCAGGUGCUUCCAGCUUGGACUUUUUUGCAAAUAUUUUCAUUCAACUCACUUUAGAAACCUGCAGGGAGUCUCUCUUUGCAAUUCCAGAAAAAUCAGCAUUUUUGUCAAAGACAUUUUGGAUGCCCAUCUUCGGGAGGAUGGUUUCCAGAUUGUAGGAGGCAGAAAUGGAAAAUCUGGGGAUGAACACCUCUAUCCACCUGUGGAGUAGGGAAAAGGAAACAAUGAGGUCACAAGCCCAUGGUGUCUGCAUCUCUGCUCCUAGAUGCCAUUUUGGGAGACUCCGUUCUUCCUCCAACCACUGCUAAUUUCUGCUAAAAAGGUCAACACAUCCUAGCCAAGAAACCCAGGUUGCUCUUGAAAUAAGCCUCCCAGCUGAGCAGGUCCAGCACUAAAAACAUGCAAGGAGAUAGACGAGCCCCCAGUGAAGUGGGUGCAGAGGUGAAAAAGCAGUCAGCAAGGGAGUCUAUGGCAGAAACCAACAGGAGACGUCCAGUAGCAAUGGAAGCUCAUCAACCACCCACUCACUGUCCGGAAUACCUCCUCAGCAGCACUUCCUGAUGCAAGCCCUGCUAAUAAUGCCCUAGAGCAGCAAAGUCCAGCAGAACUUCCUGUGAUGCUGGGAAGAUCCUAGACCUGCACUCUCCAGUACGGUAGCCAUUAGCCAUGUGUGGCUACUGAGCAACUUAAACAGUGGCUUGUGCAAAUGAGAAACUAAAAUGUUAAUUUUACUACAUUUCAGUUAACUUAAGUGUAAAUUACUGCAGGUGGCUUAGCGGCUACUAUAUUGAACAGCACCACCUGAUAAUUUAGCACAAUAUUUUUUUUCCUCUGCAAUGGUUUCCCUGAACCAAGAGUAAACAGCCCACAUGUGUUGAACUUCUUUUUUUUAAGAUGGAGUCUCACUCUGUCGCUCAGGCUGGAGUGCAAUGGCACAGUCUCUGCUCACUGCAACCUCCACCCCGUGGGUUCAAGUGUUUCUCCUGCCUCAGCCUCCCAAGUAGCUGGGAUUACAGGUGUACGUGGCCAUGCCCGGCUAAUUUUUUUGUAUUUUAGUAGAGACAGGGUUUCACCGUGUUGCCCAGGCUGGUCUUGAACUCCUGAGCUCAGGCAAUCCACCCGCCUCGGCUUCCCAAAGUGCUAGGAUUACAGGCGUGAGUCCAGCCUGAACAUUUAUUAUAUGCCAGACAUUGUCCCAGGCACAUUCAACAACACUUCCCCCUUUUAAAGACGGUAAAGCUUACUUUUAGUGCUUUGCCCAAGGUUAUGUACUUAGUGACUCACAGCAACGAAAGCACAAAAAUAUUGGAUGGACACAUUUCAGUCCUCAUCUGACAGGUGUCUUGUGACCCCUCAUGCCAGGGACAGCUCUCUUUUCCCUGCCACUGUCCUCUUUCCCUGUUUUCUCUGUGCUCCAUCUGCUGCUCUGUACUCUGUCCCUCCCUCCCUGAAAUUCUGUGCCACCUCCUCUUCCUAUCCCCAGCCCCAGAUGCAGCCUGAGAAGAGAAGAAAUCGCUGACACACCCUGCAGCAUCUCUUCAUCCUUAACUUUGAGUUUUUGCCAGUGCUGUGUCCUCUACCAAAGCUGCCCUUGCCAAGCCUCUGUGUGCUCAUAUGCUACCCACAUGUGCAGCUAAACCCCACCGCCUCCUUGAAGCUGUCCCUCAGUCCCAGCUGAAAGUGAUCUCUCUCUGCUCAGAAACUCCUCAGCACCUUUCCUGCCCUCCCGUGGGGCAUUGCCCAAUCUCUUUCUUGAAUUCCAGUUACACUGCAGCCUUCCUUCUCUCUUCCCAGACUAUGAGCACCAGGGAACGCUGCUAAAAUCAUUCUAAGAUGCCAAAAAUAUAUUGCUAAGAGACAGAACAUAAAACGUGGACAUUCCUUUUUUAUCUCAUGAUUAAUCUUUUUGCUAUUCUCCAUAUUUUUUGUACUCACCAUACUAAUUACAGAACUAAUAAUAACAUUAUUAGCUAGCAUUUACUGAACACUUACUAUCUUCUAGGAAUUCUUCUAAGCACUUUGUAAGUAGCAGGUUACUUUACCUUUUCACCAACCUUUGGAUUUGGUAAUAUUGUUAUCCUCUUUCUUAUAUGUGACCACCAAUGCUUUUGUUUGCUAGCUUUUAUGGGAUCAUUCCAUAGAUUUCAAUAUCAGAUAGGCUUCUAGAGCCAGCUCUGCAAGCAUAUAACAGCUACAUGACCUUGGGCAAUUCACUUACCCCUUGGAGCCUCCAUUUCCUCAUCUGUGUAAUGAGUGGUACUAAGACUCCUCAUCAGGUGAUAGUGAACUUCAAGUGUGAACAUGUAUAGACAGCCCCAGGCUCUCUGUCCUGCAUGCAGUUGGUGCUCACUGUGCAGAAGUGAUUAUCCAACAGCUGUUAGCACAAUCUCUCCCUCAUCUUUGAAUGUGUGCAUCCCCUGCCUCAGGGCCCAGGAGAUUGACACAGAUGCCCACCUUUUCUGGAGUGAGUGGCUCCACUUUCUCAGUGUUCUGGCUGACAAGGCCUGUUCCAG
rnacentral:lncRNA from 1 species